AGGCAUGGUGGACAUCUGUAGCAAAACAGUAUUUGCUAAGCAUAGCAGAGCUGUUGUAUUCUUGAACUCACAGCGGUUGUGACACUUAAGACCUGUGUGAGAUCAAGUCAGCUGAUGGUCCAAUAUGGAAAGAUGAGGGCGCUUGAAGCCCCAGCCCUGGCUGAGCAGCUGUAGGCAGCUGAUGGCUGAACAGAGGAGAGUUGGGGCUCUCCAGGGAUGUGAUCCUAAAGAGGCUACUCACACACACAGUAGUGGCGCACAACUUGCAUCCCAGUACUCGGGAAGCAGAGAAGGGGGGUGUCUCUUUGAGUUUGAGGCCAGCCUGGUCUACAGAGCAUGUUCUAGGAUAGCCAGGGCUACACAGAGAUAAUCUGUCUCAAAAGAAAGCAAAACACGGGACUGGAGAGAUGGGUCAGAGGUUGACAGCACUGACUGCUCUUCCAGAGGUCCUGAGUUGGAUUCCCAGCAACCACAUGGUGGCUCAUAACUAUCUACACUGGAAUCGGAUGUCCUCUUCUGUCAUGCAGGCGUAUAUGCAGACAGAACACUGUGUACAUAAUAAAUAACUAAAUCUUUAAUACAAAACAGGUCCAAUAUAUGAUCCCAUACCCAUGCACACACACACACAGGCAGCAUAAGAGGAUCCAGUGGGUUUAAGAAUAACACACAUGAGAUUGGGAGAGAAAACUGGAGGAGGGACAAGGGAAGAGCCAGAGGGAGGGAAUAGAAUGGAUUUAAUCCAGACAUCACUCAUGUAUGAGCAUGCGCUCUGAACUCAGCCACGCACAGGCCACACUGUGACUCAAUGGCAGAGAAGAAAGAAGAAAUAGGAAUGGUCCAGCCCAGGAAGAGGGCAAGAAAUUGAGAGUUUCCCUUGCUGUCACUUACAGCUAAUGUACACACAGUCAGCCUUUUUUAUCUCCUGCUUCUGCAGUCAUACAUUGAAUCAAACACAGACAGAAAGAUGAUUAGAGCGGCUUGCGAGAUGGUUCAGCGGGGAAGAGCACUGACUGCUCUUCCGUAGGUCCUGAGUUCAAAUCCCAGCAACCCCAUGGUGGCUCACAACCAUCUGUAAUGGGAUCUGAUGUGCUCUUCUGGUGUGUCUGAAGACAGCUACAGUGUACUUAUGUAUAAUAAUAAAUAAAUCUUCAAAAGAGAAAAGAUUCUCUGUGAGUUUGGGGCUAACCUGGUCCAUAUAUAGUGAGUGCGUUCCAGGCCAACCAGGGCUACACAGUGAGACCUUGUCCCAACAAUAAGAAUAAUAAACCGAGCCGGGUGUGGUGGUGCACGCCUUUAAUCCCAGCACUCGGGAGGCAGAGGCAGGCAGAUAUCUGAAUUUGAGGCCAGCCUGGUCUACAGAGUGAGUUCCAGGACAGCCAGGGCUAUACAGAGAAACCCUGUCUCGAAAAACAAAAACAAACAAACAAACAAAAAAGGAUAAACCACCUCUGGAUGCAUCUGUGAUGAACCUGUACAUAAUACAGUAUAAGAACUUAUUACAUAACGAUAAAGAAUGCUAGGCAGGGAGAAAGGGGGGAAAAGAGCCCUUUUGAGGACAGUUGCUUCCCAGGCCACACAUCAUUCUUUCCGGCUUCUUAUGGUACAAAUGGCAGGGCAAUAAGAUACUUUCCGAUGCAGAAGUGGGUGUUUACAAUGUCUAGAGACCUGCUUGGGACAUCGAGUGACAUCCUCAGAUGAGCACAGCAUGGCAGGUGGCCCAUUGCCCCUUUUAUAGACAGCUCUAACGCCUUUGAUGAGGUCUGCAGGAGCUCCCUACGCCCAGCCAAAGCCGAAGACUUGGCCCCCUGCAACCAGGGGAAAGUCCUGUCUGCUUUCUUAGCCUCUGACUCCAAGACUAAUAGGUUUGCUUCUUUUGAGACAGGGUCUCACUCUGCAGCCCAGGCUAGACUAAAUCUCACUAUAUAGCCCAGGCUGGUCUAAAACCCAUGACAAUCCUAUUCCGAUUCCCAAUCACUGGAGCUAAAGGCGUGAAUUGUCAUACAGAGCUGUGACUGCCUUCCCCCCUUGUCUCCUUCAUGUCCUUUAGCCGCUGCGGAGCUCUCCCCCUCUCUCCAGUUUGUCUUGAUUACAAACCAGCAAAAGGAGCCAGGCGGUGGUGGCAGGUAGACACCUUUGAUCCCAGCCCUUGGGAGGCAGAGGCAGGUGGAUCUCUGAGUUUGAGGUCAGUCUGGUCUAUAGAGGGAGUUCCAGGAUAGCCAGGGCUACGCAGAAAAACCCUCCGUCCCCCCCAAAAAGGAAAGGUCUGCAGAAGGAAUUUUGUUCCCCAAGUUUUAUAGUGGGUUUGCUUUCCUUUGGGUUUGAAACAGGGUCUCUUUAUGUGGUCUAUACCGGUCUUGAACUUAUGAUCUUUCUGCCUCGGCCUUCUGACUCCUGAGAUUACAGGUGUGUUCCACCCCGCCAGAUUUACAUCUAAUCGGGUGUUAUAAGUUAUCUGGAGACAAUCUCAAGUAUGUGAGCAUAUGUGUGCAAGUGCUGUACAAAUACUCCGUAUUUUAUGUAAUCGGCUUGAGAGUCUGCAGAUUUCUGUGUCCAAGGGAGUCUGGGAGGCAGUCUCUUCUCAGACCCUUAAGGCUGCCUUUUUUUCUUUAAUCUAUUAAAAAAACAUGUUUUAGCUCAGAAAAGUUCAGGCCAGAAUACUUAUUCCUCUUCAAGUCAUUCUAAAUAUAUUAGUUCUAUAUUGUGACCUGAUGGAAAGUGGCUUUAACGUGUGGACUGUUCUUCAGUUACUCGUAUGUCUGGCUUGCUAUCCUGGGAAUGGCUUCCUAACUCCUGACCCUUGGUUACCUGAGGCCAGUAGUAACCAGUGGCCAGGGGGCUUGGGUAAGUUCUAUAAGCCUCUGGGUGCUUCCAUUUUCUUAUGUGUGAAGUGGAGUUUAUGAUCCAGCCCUACCUGUCUAACAGAGCUACUAUGAGGCACUGAUGAGACUCCUCCUGUGAAAGUGAUUUGGAAACCCAGGUUCACACCCACAAAGCUUUCAUGUCAUGGCUCCAGGCCCCUGCCCACAGCGUUGGAGACGAGGGGGUCAGCAUUAAAACUAGAUUCCGGGUGGAGACUACAGAGAUCUGCAAGUAUCUGGAUACCUAUGCUGCCAGGCACUGCUGAGGCACCAGAGAUAACAAAGAACAGAGAAGCAGACAUUGAUGAGCUGAGAUUCCCGGGAGAGGGCAGGCAGCAGCCGGAAGGCUAGCUGGGCUUUGGGUGGGCACAGCUGGCACUGCCACAAUUGUUGAGCAUGAACAUGGACCCUCGGCAAGCAUGGAGAGUGAGGAGCAUCAGACAGGUGGCUUUGCUGGUGCCUGCCUUGUAACCCCCGCACUCAGAAGGCAGAGGCAGAGGCAGAGGCAGAGGCAGAGGCAGAGCAGGCUGAUCUCUGAGUUCGAGGCCAGGUUGGUCUACAGAGUUCC
rnacentral:lncRNA from 1 species